rnacentral:rRNA from 1 species
UUAAAUUGAAGAGUUUGAUCAUGGCUCAGAUUGAGCGCUGGCGGCAGGCCUAACACAUGCAAGUCGAACGGUAACAGGAAGCAGCUUGCUGCUU